rnacentral:lncRNA from 1 species
CCGGGCCAGCAGCCCCCGGCCCACAGCCCUCGCCGCCCGCCCGCCCGGCGGGCCCUGGCUCAGCACUCUUCUCACAGCAGGUCUUUGUGCCCCAAUCUGGCAGGCUCACGAGGCUCACGGGCUACCCAGCGCCAGCGGCCCAGGAGGCUGGACCACAGGUAAGACGAGGCCCAAGGCCUGCCUCUGGGAACUCGGCCCUGGCUUGGCUCUGCCCUCCUCACUCCCACAGGAUCUCCGUGCCCACCAGGCCUCAGUCCCGACUUCUCCCUGCUGCCCGGCACGGGACCCUCCCCCAGGACAGCCACCUCCCAGUGCUGAAGAGCCGGCCCGCCUCAGAGCCGCCCGCCGUUCCUUUUUCCUAUGCAUAUACUUCUUUGAGGAUCUGGCCUAAAGAGGUAUAGGGCAUGGGAAAACGGGGCGGUCGGGUCCUCCCCAGCGGCACCUGCACCAGUGCACCUGCACCUGCUCCAGCAGCACCUGCCUCCUGACUUGGGACUCCACCUGCUUCCUUUCUCCUCGGCCGGGAGCCCCGGGGCUUUGACCCCCACAUCCUUGGGGCAGAAAGGGGCCAAAUAUUCUAAAACAAGGGAAACGUGGAUGUGUGCUUUUGUGUGGGUUCUGGAAGUGUCUGGGGAGGACGUGGUCCAGGCCUCUGCCCUGGGUUGAUCUCUGCAGCCCCUGAGCUGGGACCCAGGAUGCAGAGAGGAGGGCUGGAGCUGGGCGGUGCUCUGUGACCAGUCUGACCGGAGUUGGGGGUGGACCCAUUACAGGAGGUGGCGGGAGGGACAACCUGGGCUCUGGGGCCGCCUGGUGGUCGGGGGAAGUGGGGCGGGGUGCCUGGGAUCUGGGCUCUGGCUGGGAGGAUCCACAACUCAUUCUUUGGACAUUUUCUUUGCAGACUACGAAGCUGCACCGUGUGGGGCCCACUUUUUAUACAAGCGGGUGGCGGUGGAUCCAGGCGCAGACGGGAGUGAGGCGUGGCGGAGACGCGUGCACGCUGGGUCUGUGCACUUUUGCUGCUGCUGCUUUUUUUUUUUUUUUUUUUUUUUGAGAUGGAGUCUCGUUCUGUCACCCAGGCUGGAGUGCAGUGGCGCGAUCUCGGCUCACUACAACCUCUGUCUCCCGGGUUUAAGCGACUUUCCUGUCUCAGCCUCCCAAGUAGCUGAAACGACAGGCGCCUGCCACCAUACCCGGCUAAUUUUUUUAUUUUUAGUAGAGAUAGGGUUUCACCUUGUUAGGCUGGUCUUGAACUCCUGACCUCAUGAUCCACCUCACUCGGCCUCCCAAAGUGCUGGGAUUACAGGCGUGAGCCACAGCGCCCGGCUGGCUGUUGCUUCUUAACACCUUUAUUACUUUUGUAAUCAUGGGUAUGAGUUGAUUUUCUGGUCAGAAAUUUCAGUAGAGCUAAUUUCAUUUAAAUGUGUGAGAUGUGGUAAAGUUUUGACAAUAAAUACAAAUUUUGACAAAGCAGCUCUGUCGUGCUGGUCUCCUCUCGUUCAC